rnacentral:rRNA from 1 species
UUGAACGCUGGCGGCAGGCCUAACACAUGCCAGUCGAGCGGAUGAAGGGAGCUUGCUCCUGGAUUCAGCGGCGGACGGGUGAGUAAUGCCUAGGAAUCUGCCUGGUAGUGGGGGAUAACGUCCGGAAACGGGCGCUAAUACCGCAUACGUCCUGAGGGAGAAAGUGGGGGAUCUUCGGACCUCACGCUAUCAGAUGAGCCUAGGUCGGAUUAGCUAGUUGGUGGGGUAUAGGCCUACCAAGGCGACGAUCCGUAACUGGUCUGAGAGGAUGAUCAGUCACACUGGAACUGAGACACGGUCCAGACUCCUACGGGAGGCAGCAGUGGGGAAUAUUGGACAAUGGGCGAAAGCCUGAUCCAGCCAUGCCGCGUGUGUGAAGAAGGUCUUCGGAUUGUAAAGCACUUUAAGUUGGGAGGAAGGGCAGUAAGUUAAUACCUUGCUGUUUUGACGUUACCAACAGAAUAAGCACCGGCUAACUUCGUG